rnacentral:rRNA from 1 species
AUUGAACGCUGGCGGCAGGCUUAACACAUGCAAGUCGAACGAGUGGCGGACGGGUGAGUAAUGCUUGGGAAUCUAGCUUCUGGAGGGGGCUAACUACGGGAAACUGUAGCUAAUCCCGCGUACCAUAGGAUGAGCCCAAGUGGGAUUCGGUAGUUGGUUAGGUAAAGGCUAACCAAGCCGACGAUCUCUAGCUGGUUUGAGAGGAGGACCAGCCAAACUGGGACUGAGACACGGCCCAGACUCCUACGGUAGGCAGCAGUGGGGAAUAUUGCGCAAUGGGGGCAACCUGACGCAGCCAGGCCGCGUGAAUGAAGAAGGCCUUCGGGUUGUAAAGUUCUUUCGGUAGCGAGGCGUUAACUACAGAAGAAGCACUGGCUAACUCCGUGCCAGCAGCCGCGGUAAUAC